rnacentral:rRNA from 1 species
CAACGCGCAGAACCUUACCUACCCUUGACAUGCCAAGAACCUUGCCGAGAGGCGAGGGUGCCUUCGGGAGCCUGGACACAGGUGCUGCAUGGCUGUCGUCAGCUCGUGUCGUGAGAUGUUGGGUUAAGUCCCGCAACGAGCGCAACCCUUGUCCUUAGUUGCCAUCAUUUGGUUGGGGACUCUAUUGAGACAGCCGGUGACAAACCGGAGGAAGGUGGGGAUGACAUCAAGUCCUCUUGGGCCUUAUGGGUAGGGCUUCACACGUCAUACAAUGGGCGGUACACAGGGUUGCCAAGCCCCGCGGUGGAGACAAUCCCUUAAAGCCGAUCGUAGUCCGGAUAGNAGUCUGCGACUCUCCUACGUGAAGUCGGAAUCUCUAGUAAUCUCANAUCACCAUGCUGCGGUGAAUA